AUUGAACGCUGGCGGCAGGCCUAACACAUGCAAGUCGAGCGAGCGGCGGACGGGUGAGUAAUGUCUGGGAAACUGCCUGAUGGAGGGGGAUAACUACUGGAAACGGUAGCUAAUACCGCAUACCAUCAGAUGUGCCCAGAUGGGAUUAGCUAGUAGGUGGGGUAACGGCUCACCUAGGCGACGAUCCCUAGCUGGUCUGAGAGGAUGACCAGCCACACGGGAACUGAGACACGGUCCAGAGCCCUACGGGAGGCAGCAGUGGGGAAUAUUGCACAAGGGGCGAAAGGCUGAUGCAGCAAUGCCGCGUGUGUGAAGGAGGCCUUCGGGUUGUAAAGCACUUUCAGCGGGGAGGCGGUACCCGCAGAAGAAGCAACGGCUAACUCCGUGCCAGCAGCCGCGGUAAUUC
rnacentral:rRNA from 1 species